UUUUAAUCAUAUUUAUAUUUCAGAAAUCGUAUCCAAUUGAAAUUGAGCAGGCAUACGUCUUAGUACAAGCUUCCAGGCAUUAAACACAAUGCGUAUUUCCGUAUCACAAUUGGAGUUGUUGUCUGAGCAAAUUCAGUUGAAAGCUCCAUCAUUUGUGGUCACUACCAUCAAUCAAAACAAACACAUCCACGCGCAUUUAUAUCCAAUGGUGUUUAUUUACACCUUAGAAAUAUUUUCGAAUGUUCAUAAAACUUUGAUACUUCGUACAUACCCAGCCAGCAAGAAAACAUACAUUUUACGAACUUUUUAUCCACGACUUUUCAUCCAGUUUCUCUUCAAGAAAAUAUCCAGUUACGAGCUCGUUUACGAUGAUUUUGUUGGGUGGGUCUACAAAACGUCUAACAGCUAUGAUUGUGUCGCCCUUGCUUCUUUAUCGACUGCGCUAUUAAUAUUGUGGACUUUAUUGAAACUCUUUUUAGGUAUGUGCAUAUUUAACUAAAUUGUCCCUGUCAUGUGGGCAAGUGAUUUAAAUUAUGCACGCUUAAAAUAAAUACAUAUAUAAGCACGAGUG
rnacentral:misc_RNA from 1 species